rnacentral:misc_RNA from 1 species
GAUGAAGAACGUAGCGAAAUGCGAUAAGUAGUGUGAAUUGCAGAAUUCAGUGAAUCAUCGAAUCUUUGAACGCACAUUGCGCCCUUUGGUAUUCCUUAGGGCAGGCCUGUUCGAGCGUCAUUUAAACCUUCAAGCUAAGCUUGGUGUUGGGUGACUGUCCGCUUCACUGCGGACUCGCCUCAAAAUUAUUGGCGGCCGGUACAUUGGCUUCGAGCGCAGCAGAAACGCGAACUCGGGCCCGUCGUAUUGGCUCCCAGAAGCUAUCUUCACAAUUUUGACCUCGGAUCAGGUAGGGAUACCCGCUGAACUUAAGCAUAUCAAUAAGCGGAGGA